rnacentral:rRNA from 1 species
GGGGAAUAUUGCACAAUGGGCGAAAGCCUGAUGCAGCGACGCCGCGUGAGCGAAGAAGGCCUUCGGGUCGUAAAGCUCUGUCCUAUGGGACGAUAAUGACGGUACCAUAGGAGGAAGCCCCGGCUAACUACGUGCCAGCAGCCGCGGUAAUACGUAGGGGGCAAGCGUUGUCCGGAAUGACUGGGCGUAAAGGGUACGUAGGCGGUUAUGUAAGUCAGGUGUGAAAGGCUAGGGCUCAACCCUAGUAAGCACUUGAAACUGCGUGACUUGAGUCGAGGAGAGGAAAGUGGAAUUCCUGGUGUAGCGGUGAAAUGCGUAGAUAUCAGGAGGAAUACCAGUGGCGAAGGCGACUUUCUGGCCUUGGACUGACGCUGAGGUACGAAAGCGUGGGGAGCAAAC